rnacentral:rRNA from 1 species
GCCCUAGUAACGGCGAGUGAAGCGGCAACAGCUCAAAUUUGAAAUCUGGCGCAAGCCCGAGUUGUAAUUUGUAGAGGAUGCUUCAGGGCAGCGGCCGGUCUAAGUUCCUUGGAACAGGACGUCAUAGAGGGUGAGAAUCCCGUAUGCGACCGGUUGGCACCCGUCACGUAGCUCCUUCGACGAGUCGAGUUGUUUGGGAAUGCAGCUCUAAAUGGGAGGUAAAUUUCUUCUAAAGCUAAAUACCGGCCAGAGACCGAUAGCGCACAAGUAGAGUGAUCGAAAGAUGAAAAGCACUUUGGAAAGAGAGUUAAAAAGCACGUGAAAUUGUUGAAAGGGAAGCGCAUGCCACCAGACUUGUCGGCGGUGUUCCGCCGGUCUUCUGACCGGUCUACUCGCCGCCGACAGGCCAGCAUCAUCUGGGGGCGCCGGAUAAAGGCGCGGGGAAUGUGGCUCCCUCGGGAGUGUUAUAGCCCCGCGCACAAUACGGUGACCCUCGGGUGAGGUCCGCGCUUCGGCUAGGAUGCUGGCGUAAUGGUUGUUUGCGGCCCGUCUUGAAACACGGACCAAGGAGUCUAACAUCUAUGCGAGUGUUCGGGUGUCAAACCCCUACGCGGAAUGAAAGUGAACGGAGGUGGGAACCUUUACCGGUGCACCAUCGACCGAUCCUGAUGUCUUCGGAUGGAUUUGAGUAAGAGCAUAGCUGUUGGGACCCGAAAGAUGGUGAACUAUGCCUGAAUAGGGUGAAGCCAGAGGAAACUCUGGUG